rnacentral:rRNA from 1 species
AUACGUAGGUGGCAAGCGUUGUCCGGAUUUUACUGGGCGUAAAGGGAGCGUAGGCGGACUUUUAAGUGGGAUGUGAAAUACCCGGGCUUAACCUGGGUGCUGCAUUCCAAACUGGGAGUCUAGAGUGCAGGAGGGGAAAGUGGAAUUCCUAGUGUAGCGGUGAAAUGCGUAGAGAUUAGGAAGAACACCGGUGGCGAAGGCGACUUUCUGGACUGUAACUGACGCUGAGGCUCGAAAGCGUGGGGAGC